CAAAGAUGGAGACAUAAAAAUUAAAACUUCUCAUGAAAUUCAGAGUUUAUGGUUACUAUACUGGGGGAAAUAGUGAACAUUUUAUUAUUGAAGCAAAGAAAAAAAUGUCAGUGAGUGUAUUCUAAAUUUCAUCCAAAGGGGCAGGAAGAAAGAACUCUACAGAAUAUGUAUGUAGGGGAAGUUAUGAGACAAUAAUUAAUUAAGGUUAUUUUCUAUUGUUUACAUGUUCAACCUACCAUUACACCUCAACUCUACAAAAAAUAGGAAGAAAAAUGGCAAUUUCCCACUCCUAGCAAGAAUUGAACUCCUAUCAUAACUCCUUUUGUUCCCAGCAUGAGACUGUAGUGAUGGUAGAGUCCCAGGGAUCUGGAUAGUGAGGUAACAUCAUCACCAUAAGACUUUUGGGAAGCAUUCCAUCCUUCUUUAAAAUAACACCCAGAGCUCUGCUAGCAAACUCUCCAAGCCUGGUGUGAGGCCAAAGGAAGAAGAGCCUGAGGAUGAGGAACUUCGGAUCCUGAGCAUGAUUGGAAUUAAGUCUUUGUUGGAGGAGACGGGCUCUUCCUCCCCUCUGGCCAGCCCUGUGGCCUUACUGUGUGUGGGAAGACUCUAUUCUCUAUAGUUCUGAGAAAAUCCGAAACUUCCAGACACAAAAUGACUCCUGCUCUGGUGUUCUAGAACAAUAUGGAACUGCUGACAACAAAGUAAAUAUGGUGGUUUAUCAUUCCCCAAAUAUUAUCCCCACUUGAUGCUGCAAACAUGCAAAUAUUAUAUAUGACUACAGUAAAUGCUGAAAUGCUGGUGGUUUUUCUGAGCAAUGAGAAAACCAAUUUUAACUCCUUAACAUUUCUGAAUAGGUCUUCAACUCUGCUCAAAUCGGCUGGUUCUUUAUUUUCUCUUCCAAAUUAAUUUAUUUCACAAAUAUUGUCAGUGAUAUAGUGGCUUGAAGUACCUGCUGACAACACAGAUUUAGUAUUGGCAUCUGCCCAUAUUUUUGAAAUUUGUGCCCAUC